rnacentral:rRNA from 1 species
CCUACGGGGGGCUGCAGUCGAGAAUCAUUCACAAUGGGGGAAACCCUGAUGGUGCGACGCCGCGUGGGGGAAUGAAGGUCUUCGGAUUGUAAACCCCUGUCAUGUGGGAGCAAAUUAAAAAGAUAGUACCACAAGAGGAAGAGACGGCUAACUCUGUGCCAGCAGCCGCGGUAAUACAGAGGUCUCAAGCGUUGUUCGGAAUCACUGGGCGUAAAGCGUUCGUAGGCUGUUUCGUAAUGCGUGUGAGAAAGGCGAGGGCUCAACCCGCGGACGGCACAUGAUACUGCGAGAAUAGAGUAAUGGAGGGGGAACCGGAAUUCUCGGUGUAGCAGUGAAAUGCGUAGAUAUCGAGAGGAACACUCGUGGCGAAGGCGGGUUCCUGGACAUUAACUGACGCUGAGGCACGAAGGCCAGGGGAGCGAAAGGGAUUAGAUACCCCAGUAGUC